rnacentral:rRNA from 1 species
AAAGAACCNNCAGGGAUUGCCCUAGUAACGGCGAGUGAAGCGGCAACAGCUCAAAUUUGAAAUCUGGCUCUCGGGCCCGAGUUGUAAUUUGUAGAGGAUGCUUUUGGUGAGGUGCCUUCCGAGUUCCCUGGAACGGGACGCCAUAGAGGGUGAGAGCCCCGUCUGGUUGGACACCGAGCCUCUGUAAAGCUCCUUCGACGAGUCGAGUAGUUUGGGAAUGCUGCUCUAAAUGGGAGGUAUAUGUCUUCUAAAGCUAAAUAUUGGCCAGAGACCGAUAGCGCACAAGUAGAGUGAUCGAAAGAUGAAAAGCACUUUGAAAAGAGAGUUAAAAAGCACGUGAAAUUGUUGAAAGGGAAGCGCUUGUGACCAGACUUGGGCUUGGUUAAUCAUCCGGCGUUCUCGCCGGUGCACUUUUCCAGUCCAGGCCAGCAUCAGUUUGCCUUGGGGGAUAAAAGCUUCGGGAAUGUGGCUCCUCCGGGAGUGUUAUAGCCCGUUGCACAAUACCCUGGGGCGGACUGAGGUUCGCGCAUUCGCAAGGAUGCUGGCGUAUGGUCAUCAGC